CUGGGUAUCUUUUAGAAAUCUACAAAUUGUACUACAAUCAAAGCAUUGUCACAGGGGGAAAAACAUAUGCUAUGACUCUGGUUUUGAGAUUAUUAAAGAGAAAACAGUGACCUGGAGGUCAAAGACCACUGAAUAAAUUCAGGUAUAGAUAAAACCUGAGAGAAGGGAAGUUAAAGAACCGAGGAACCAACAAGAAGGGAAACCGAUUCCACAGGCAAUGCCUCCCUGGGCAGUCCAGGCAAAUUAAGAAACUAUGGUUGGAAAGACACAGUACCUCAUUAGGAAAAUGA
rnacentral:lncRNA from 1 species